rnacentral:tRNA from 1 species
GCCUGGCUGGCUCAGUCGGUAGAGCACUUGAUGUCUUGAUCUCAGGGUCAUGAGUUCAAGCCCCAUGUUGGGCA